rnacentral:lncRNA from 1 species
GUGCGUGCUCCUGAGCUCUAGCAGCCGCAGCCACAGUCGCCUGGACAGACACGGGGCCGCCCUAGCAGAUUCGCCGCAUGAGACGCCCGCCCGCACUCCCCCCAACUCCCUCGAGAGCGCCUGCGUUCGGCCGCGGUGGAGGGGAUAUGCUGUGGAAGAGGAGGUCGGCGGGGUGGCGGCAGGGAAAGACGGGCGGUUUGGUGGGAGGAGGCCAACCGGCGGGGUGGGGGAUUGGGACUGGGAGGAGAGGCGGCAAAUGAGUGAGCGGAGCGAGUGAAGGAGUCACGACGCCGGCGUAGUCUAACGGCUAGGGUUUGGAAUAGCAGUUCGGCAGCAAUGUUAGACGGCACAGGCCGGACGGCGCCGCACACCCGUCCGACUUGCUGCAGCACGCGACGAGAACGGGGUGCGGGGCGGCGCGGCAGCGGCGGCCGGGGGGCCGGUUUCCUUAGAGAACGAGGUGCUGGUGUAGGCACACGUAAGGAGAGGCCCUGGAGAAGCCGCAGGCGUGGAGGGCGGAAGCGUCCAGGCGGAGCCGCCGACGGACAGAGGGAGUGGAGCGGCGCGGGUGUGGCGGCGGGCCGGCGGCGCGGGAUGGGGUUCGGGUGAACUGGGAUGGGAAAAGGGCCGGAGGUGGGGUUAUUGGGCCGGAGAGGAAACAGGUUUCUGAAAUGCCAUUGUUACCCUAGCUCGUGGCCCCACCUGUCAUUCUCUCCUUCCCUAUCUUCUUCUUCCUCACAGCCAAGGAGCAACGGGGGAUGGGGCUGGCGGUGUGAUGGGCGCGGCCAGGGGAGGCGGCGCGCCGGCUAAGAGGAGGCCUCAUGUAUCAGCCAAGAGGAGGACAGCCGCAGGCCGCCGAGCCACCGACGCGCGCAACAGCGAGGUGCGGGAUGGGGGGCAUUGGAGUUGCAGAGGCGUGCGGUGUGCCGAUCGGGAGGAGCUCGCACAUGGUGCCGGGCGGUGGCAGUGCUACGGGCUAGGCUCAGGUUGGGCGAUGCCGGAAGCUAGAUGGAGGUGGCGCGCCGGCCGGAGACCUUGGGGGUGGGGGUUUUGUUGGACCUUGGAGCUGGGGUCGUCGCCAACAGUACUCCACCGAGUGGAUCUAGCUUGCCAUCCAAGGGUGGGACGGGGCGGGGGCGACUGUGGUGCUGUAACGCCCACGAAAAUCACUAACAAAAAUCACCCGUUAAAAACCGUCUUUAAAAUCUUUUUACCGCUGAGCUCCCGGAAAUCGGAAACCUCCCCGGCGAUUUCGCCGUCCCGGUACCCAUGCCGACCCCCACCUGUCUUUUUAUCUGUGCCCGCGAAUCUCGCCGCGUGCCGGUGUCAGACGCCGUGCGCGUGCUCCGACCGCGUGCCGCGAGUGCCGUCGGUCUCUCCCUUUUUCUUUCUCUUUUCCUCCCCUUCUUUCCUNNNNNNNNNNNNNNNNNNNNNNNNNNNNNNNNNNNNNNNNNNNNNNNNNNNNNNNNNNNNNNNNNNNNNNNNNNNNNNNNNNNNNNNNNNNNNNNNNNNNNNNNNNNNNNNNNNNNNNNNNNNNNNNNNNNNNNNNNNNNNNNNNNNNNNNNNNNNNNNNNNNNNNNNNNNNNNNNNNNNNNNNNNNNNNNNNNNNNNNNNNNNNNNNNNNNNNNNNNNNNNNNNNNNNNNNNNNNNNNNNNNNNNNNNNNNNNNNNNNNNNNNNNNNNNNNNNNNNNNNNNNNNNNNNNNNNNNNNNNNNNNNNNNNNNNNNNNNNNNNNNNNNNNNNNNNNNNNNNNNNNNNNNNNNNNNNNNNNNNNNNNNNNNNNNNNNNNNNNNNNNNNNNNNNNNNNNNNNNNNNNNNNNNNNNNNNNNNNNNNNNNNNNNNNNNNNNNNNNNNNNNNNNNNNNNNNNNNNNNNNNNNNNNNNNNNNNNNNNNNNNNNNNNNNNNNNNNNNNNNNNNNNNNNNNNNNNNNNNNNNNNNNNNNNNNNNNNNNNNNNNNNNNNNNNNNNNNNNNNNNNNNNNNNNNNNNNNNNNNNNNNNNNNNNNNNNNNNNNNNNNNNNNNNNNNNNNNNNNNNNNNNNNNNNNNNNNNNNNNNNNNNNNNNNNNNNNNNNNNNNNNNNNNNNNNNNNNNNNNNNNNNNNNNUAACACAGACCGUGCAGUCCAAAAUCACGGUCGUCCUCUGGUUCCUGGAAGAAGAAGGAGCCAAAACUCCAAGAAUUCCGAUCUAACCCUCAAGUUUCCCCAAAUCACACAUAAGCCCCUCCACUUCCGAAAGAAAUUACAAAUAGGUCCCUGGUUUAUUAAAAAUCAGCCCUAACCCUCCAUUUAAGCCCCUAAUCAAUGUUUAACCCGUCAUUUCAUGCGCCAAACUUCCUCCAAUUAAUCCCAAAAUUUACCACGUCAUCCUCCAGAAUACUUUCGCCGAUCCAUAUCCAAAUUUCCCAAAAAUAAUCCCUCUACCUAUUUUCCGUCCGCAUUUCCUGUUCGGAGCUCCCGGUUAAAAACCGUUUUCUCUUUUAUUUAUUUGUGUGUCUGUUUGUGUGUGCCGUAGAUCGCGGAUUGCCCGAGGAGGAGCCCGAGGAAGAGUUGGACCGCGAACCCGAGCCCGAGGACCAGUACCGCGAGCCGGAACUCCCGGAAGGCUUUGAAGACGGCAAGUCCAAUCUCACCCUUUUGAUGCAUACUUAAUACCUAGUUUUUCAAACACCACCUAUUGGCCUGUUUUACAAAAUGCAUAUUAUUUUAUCGCAAGACAUGGUUGGAUAGCCACCCCUUGAUUGUUAUGAACAUUCCUUGUUGUCCUAUGCUUAUCUCUAAAUAUGACUCGCUCUGUUUAGUUGAUAACCGCCGCUAGAACGCUUAGGAAUCUGUUACUCAAAUGCAAACAUUAUUACAAUGGUGUAUUCGGGAAAUUAAGGUGUGUGUGUGUGUCCGAGUAAGCAUAAUGGCUGUUGGUUCGGGAAAAGAAAUGUGUGGACGGGAUGGAUGGGUGUUCCUUGUGUGGGAUGCCCAGUUGUUGUGCUCGUACCUUGGUGGUUGGGCAAUGUUGGGAGAUAUCCAUCCGGUCGUAAUUAAGGACCGAGUUAAUGUGUCAUCUUGCCUAAUUCCACUAUCGUGCAACCACUCGACCGUUGUAUGGGCAACGGCUUAGCAUAAAUCCCACUAGCUGGAUGGUUAGUCCUCAGGAGCGCUGGUGAGCAACGGGAACCCACGGAAAAGGAUUAAGAUCUUGGUGACUUGAGUCCCGGUUACGGUCUCCUGAAUGAGCCGUGGACCCCUGGGGUGUUCCGUGUGAACUAGCCAGUCCUAGCUAAGGUGGGUAAUGGCUUUGUUAGGAUCCGUACCGUCACUAAGGUGAUUGUGCUACGGUACCCUACUUGUGGGAAAAGUGUACACCCUCUGCAGAGUGAAAACCUAUCCGGGUAGCCGUGUCCACGGAAUUGGACGAAUUACGGCUUGGUCACAUAACUAGUGUUUGGGCAAGGAUAUCAUGUGUGUGUGUGUGUGUGUGUGUGUGUGUGUGUGGAAUUUCAGAAGAGUCCGGCAGUUGUGCCGUGCGCUAUGACGGACGGGGAGUCCGAUAGCGACAAAAGCUUGGAUCCUUUGCGUAGGAUCAACCCCACUCAGUAUUUCGGGUAUUAAAGGAAACUUUACAAAAACCCUUUCGAAAAUGAUCCCCUGCAUGUGUUAACAAUUAGCUUUUUCGCAAAAUAAACCCUAGCCUAUCCUUGUUGUACUUGUGCAUAAACUUGCUUGUAUCCCCCUCCGUGGAUGGGGUUGGACUUGUUGAGUACGUUAGUACUCACCCUUGCUUCAUUACUACAGAGGAAGACCCUGAGUUCGUCGCAGAAGACCUCGAGUAGAGGUUGUGUCCGCACCCGACGCUGCCUGUGGAGUUGCCCUGCCCACAAUGCUGCUGCUGCCGUGUAGUCCCGAGUGCUGUCUUUUGGCAGUCGCUUGGUUAGCCGCCGUUAUCUAUUUACUGUUUAUCGCUGCGUGGCUUUCACGCCCACUCCCUCGGGAGUUGUACGGUAACUGAAUUAUCUGUCGAAUAAAUGUGUUAUCAGCCUCCUAGGACUAAUAUUUGUAUCACAUUUAGUCUCUAUUUAUGUGGGGACGCUUCAGGUGGUAUCAGAGCCGUCGUUGGCUGUAGGAUGCAACCUUAGGACCGGAUUAGCCCUUUUUGACCAAAACAAAAGAAUUACAAAAUUUCUUCCUACCUUUUCUCUAUUGGAAAACUAAUUUGUGCCCCGGAUCUUUUCCAGAUGGCCGAGGAAGGAUGGGUCAACAGCCACUGCCUGGAGGAGCCUGGUUUUCCCAGGUUGCUGUUCACCUGCAUGGACCGCCUUGGGAUUUACGAGCGUCCGGAGUACACCAGCAGGGAGUACGAGGACCGCGGGACCCCUCGGUGUGAGAUGAUUAUCUACAUCGGGCGGAGCAGCCGUUAUCCGGAUAUCCAGCCAUGGAACGUGACCGCCACCGGCUUCCGGCACAAGGAUACUUAUCAAGUGGCAGCCCAGAAGGCCCUCCGCUUCCUGUGCCAGAUCUAUGAGAGGCACAUUGGCCGCACUCCGAUGAGGUUUUACCCGCCUGUCAAGAAGAACCGCCCGGUUUGGCUGGCCCGGGUACGGACCUUGGAAGGACGUGGACAGCGCGAGGAUGACCCCACUGUGCUACACAUGGCUGCCUACCUCCUCACCUUAGAUGAGCUCUACGACGAGCAGGCUGCUAAGUUGAAGCAGCAACUCCGUAGGGCCGAGGACGCGGAGAUCAUGGUAAGGAGGCUUCAGGUGAAGUUAGCCGCUGCCGAAGCUCGAGCCGCGGCCGCUCAAAGCAACGAGGCCAUUGCCGUUGAGGCUCUCAAGGAAGCUGAGGAUCGGCACACCAAGGAACUGAAGGAUGCCCACCUCACCAUUCGUGCCAGAAGGAGGAUGGUGGCCAUCGAGGAUGACGAGGCCCCGAUCCUCGAAGGGAUCCCCAUUGCCCCAGGACCCAGUAAGCGGAAGAGCCCGGACGCCACCCCGGCACCACCACCUUCAGAAAGGAACUCUGAGGUGUCGGAUGGAGUGGUUCCCGAGACCCCUCCCACGGGCGGGACUCUGAAGGAUGAGGUGCUGGCCCUUCUCCUUCCAAUGGAAGAUCACUCAGUCCAGGGAGAAGACUCGCCCCGCGAGUAGUGUGCCCAGCCAGUAUUGCCCAAGGGAUGAAGCCGUCAUGGUCCGCAGUUUAGAGUUGUACCCUCCAGUUGUGUCGUUAUAACCGGUCGUGCAGUGCGUGUUUUGGCCUUACCCCAGCAGUGUUGUACCCCCCCCCCCCCCCGUGGCAAAAUAAAUAAAAUCGUUUGUGCUUGUUGCUUGUUAGUCUGUGUGUUUGUCGACAGGAGGUGGAUUCUGUCUCUUCGAAAAUACGAAAUAAUCACUUUAAAGAUCACUAAAAUCCAAAUCAUACUCUCAUAAAAAGGUCUCACUCAAUCUGCAGAUGCCGCCCAAGCGUGCCACCAGGACUUCCCCAAGUCAGGCUCAUGCCUCCCCCAGUGCAGAGAGGCAGCCUGAAAGGCAGGAGCCACCCCCGGCGGUACUCCCUGAGGAGCAGGAAGUAAGCCAGCCAGAAGGAAGGGGAGAAAGCCAAGUGGGAACACAGCAGCCACCGCCCCCACCGGUCAUUGAUCUGGUUCAAGUAAUGAACAACCAGACCCUCCUGCUGGAAGCUUUAGCCAACGCCGUGACUCGUCAAAGGCCCCGCGGGCAGAAUAUGAAUGAGAAGUUGACGGACUUCCUCCGGACCAAGCCACCCACUUUUGGCGGGUCUGUCAACCCUCUGGACGCGGAUGACUGGCUGCGCGUCAUCCAGAGGAAGCUGGAACCCUUUGGGUGUGAGAGCAGGGACAAAGUUCUCUUGGCUGCCCACCAGCUCACCGGGACUGCCCUAGCCUGGUGGGAGAACUACUGCUCGGCUGCCCAGGAUGCCUCCACUAUCACCUGGGAUGAGUUCGUGACGGAAUUCCGUCGCUACCACAUCCCCGCCGCCACCAUGAAGCGCAAGGCGGAUGAGUUCCGUGAACUCCGCCAGGGCAACCGAUCUGUGGAGGAGUACACCUUCCAGUUCAUGGAGCUGGCCCGUUAUGCUCCAGAGGAGGUGGACAAGGACGAGAAGAAGCAGGACAUGUUCAAGAAAGGCUUGAACGCGGAGCUAAGAACCCUGCUCACUCCCCAGAUCUACCCCGACUUCAACACCUUGAUGAACAUGGCCAUACUGACUGAGAGGGCCAAGGCAGAAGAGCGGAGGGACAACAAGCGUCGGUUCUUGGAAAACAAGGCACACCAGCAGGACCGAUUCCAGAAGCCAAGGAGCUUCGGUCAUCCCUUGCCUAGAUCCCAAGCUCCCAUGCAUUAUCGGACCCAGUCCCAAGCACCUGGCUCACAUCAGACUGCUGCCCCAUUCCGGAGCCAGAACUCCAUCAAGGCCCCACAGAGCAGCGCCAGCCAGGUCACCAGUAAUGGUAGGGCAUGCUUCAACUGCAGAGAGCCAGGGCAUUUCAUCGCCAACUGCCCCUAUGCCAACAAGCCAGCAGCAUCAGCCUUGUCCAACUCAGUAGCUGGGCCCAGGACUGCAUUGUCAGGAGCCAACCGUGUGCCAGUCCGCAGCAGUGGCAACCCCAGCAACAACAACAGCCAGCAGAUGAGGCCGCCCCAGCAGUCAUUUGGUCGAGCCCGCGUCAACCACAUCGGCGCGCAGGAGGCUCGCGACGCUCAGGGCGUGGUACUCGGUGAGUUCCUAGUCAGCUCAGUCUUGGCAACAGUACUUUUUGAUUCUGGAGCAUCACAUUCCUUCAUAUCCUCAAGUUUUGUGGAGAAACAUCAUAUACCUACAGUACUACUAAAGUUACCCCUAUUAACCCGGACCCCUGGGGCCGACAUUCAGUGUCGACUAGGCUGUUCUCGGGUAAGGAUCAAUUUAAGUGGGGUAGAGUUUCUAGCGGAUCUAGUAGUACUUAAGUCUAAGGGGAUAGAUGUGAUCCUUGGAAUGGAUUGGUUAAGCCUACAUGACAGUCAUAUAGGGUGUGCUGAUAAGGUAGUGCACCUGACCAAUCAGGAUGGUGUGCAAGUGACCUGUCACACUAAGGGAAGUGGCCCAGACCCCAUGGUGUUCAGCAUGGAGACUAAAACCUUAGGAAAGGUCCCGGUAGUGAGUGAAUACCCGGACGUCUUCCCCGAGGAAUUACCUGGAAUGCCCCCUGACCGAGACAUAGAGUUCGUAAUUGACCUUGUCCCCGGAACCUCCCCUAUAGCCAAGAGACCCUAUAGAAUGGCAGCCCCAGAGCUAGCCGAGCUGAAGAAACAGUCGGGAGAGUUGCAACAGAGUGGUUUUAUCAGACCCAGCUCAUCCCCGUGGGGAGCCCCCGUGCUUUUUGUCAAGAAAAAGGAUGGGAGUAUGAGGAUGUGCGUGGAUUAUCGCGCAUUAAAUGAGGUCACCAUUAAGAACAAGUACCCCCUCCCUAGAAUAGAUGACUUGUUUGACCAACUAAAGGGAGCCAAGUACUUCUCCAAGAUAGAUCUGAGAUCGGGGUAUCAUCAGCUCAAGAUCAAGGAGAGCGACAUCCCGAAGACCGCCUUUGUCACCCGCUAUGGUCAAUUUGAGUUUACAGUAAUGUCCUUUGGAUUGACCAAUGCACCUGCUUACUUCAUGAACCUCAUGAACAAGGUGUUUAUGGACGAAUUAGAUAAGUUUGUCGUAGUCUUUAUUGACGACAUACUUAUUUACUCCAAGAGUGUUCAAGAGCAUGAACACCACUUACGGGUAGUCUUGGAAAAAUUAAGAGCCCACCGACUCUAUGCUAAAUUCAGCAAGUGCGAAUUUUGGCUUGAGAAAGUGGCAUUCCUUGGUCAUAUCUUGACCGCGGAAGGAGUAGCAGUCGACCCUGAGAAGGUGGAAGCCGUCUCCAACUGGUAGCAGCCCACUAAUGUUAGUGAAAUCAGGAGUUUCCUGGGUUUAGCUGGAUAUUAUCGGAGGUUUAUUGAGGGAUUCUCCAAGAUAGCCCGGCCCAUGACCGAGUUGCUCAGAAAGGACAAGAAGUUCACCUGGACCGAGUCAUGCGAGCGGAGUUUCCAGGAGCUGAAGAGAAGAUUGACAACAGCCCCAGUGCUGACCUUGCCAGAUAUCCAGCGAGACUUCGUCAUCUACUGCGAUGCAUCUCGACAAGGAUUAGGCUGUGUCCUCAUGCAGAAUGGGAAGGUCGUGGCAUAUGCUUCCCGACAACUUAAGCCUCAUGAGCAGAACUACCCAACCCAUGACUUAGAAUUUGCAGCCGUAGUGCAUGCCCUUAAGAUCUGGAGACAUUAUCUGAUUGGGAAUAAGUGUGAAAUCUACACCGACCAUAAAAGCCUAAAGUACAUCUUUACCCAACCCGAUCUGAACUUAAGGCAGAGGAGGUGGCUAGAGCUGGUAAAGGACUACAACCUGGAAAUCCAUUACCACCCUGGCAAAGCUAAUGUGGUAGCUGACGCCUUAAGCAGAAAGUCCUACGGACAGCCCGGACCCGAGAAUGCCCGACUACGAGAGGAAAUGGCCCAGUUGAAUGUGCAUAUCAUUCCCCAGAAUGCUAGCCGUAGGCUAAGUGUCCAGCCCACAUUGGAGGAUAAAAUUCGAGAAGCCCAGGGUUCAGACCAAGAUCUAGUAAAAAUCCGCAAGCAGACCGGAGAAAAUAAAGCACCGGAUUUCAGGGUAGAUGACAAGGGAACCUUGUGGUAUAAGAACAGAAUUUGUGUCCCUAAGGACGGAGAAUUCCGGCAGACCAUCAUGGAUGAAGCCCAUAACUCAGCAUACUCCAUUCACCCCGGAUCCACUAAGAUGUACAUGGACCUAAAGCAGAAAUACUGGUGGAACGGGAUGAAGGCAGACAUAGCCCAGUUUGUAGCCCGGUGCGAUACCUGCCAAAGAGUCAAGGCCGAGCACCAGAAGCCAGCCGGCUUGCUACAACCCUUGCCUAUCCCGGUUUGGAAGUGGGAUGAGAUUGGCAUGGAUUUUGUAGUAGGCUUGCCCAGAACCCAGAAAGGAAAUGACUCCAUAUGGGUAAUAGUGGACCGACUCACCAAGGUUGCUCACUAUCUGCCCGUACGGACCACUUACGGUGGGGAGAAACUGGCUCGACUCUACGUCGACAACAUAGUGAAGCUGCAUGGUGUGCCCAGCCGGAUCGUCUCAGAUAGAGGAACUCAGUUCACCUCUAGGUUUUGGAGGAGUUUGCAUAAGGCCAUGGGCACCAAACUGGAUUUUAGUUCAGCCUAUCACCCUCAGACCGAUGGCCAGACCGAACGGGUAAAUCAGAUCAUGGAAGAUAUGUUAAGAGCGUGUGUCCUCACCUAUGGAAAGGAUUGGGAACAAAGUCUACCCUAUGCAGAAUUCUCCUACAACAAUAGUUACCAAGCCAGUCUAGGCAUGUCACCCUUUGAAGCCCUUUAUGGUAGAAAGUGUCGGACCCCUUUGAUGUGGUCAGAAGUCGGAGAGCGUUCUCUGGUCGGACCAGCUUUUAUCAAGGAAGCAGAAGACCGUGUAGCAGAAAUCCGAGAGAAGUUAAAGGCUGCACAGUCCAGACAGAAGAGCUACUCUGACAAGAGAAGACGGGAAUUGUGCUUCAAUGAGGGAGAUUUUAUCUACCUCAAGGUAUCCCCGAUUCGGGGUACGCGAAGGUUUCAGGUGCAAGGGAAGCUAGCCCCUCGGUAUAUUGGACCAUACCAGGUGUUAAAGAGAGUUGGAGCCGUAGCAUACCGUAUCCAACUGCCCAAAGAAAUGUCGGAUAUACACCCGGUAUUCCAUGUCUCCCAGCUAAGGAAAUGCUUGAGAGUACCGGAGGAACAAGUACCGGUGGAAACAAUAGACCUACAGAAGGACCUUCGGUAUCAAGAAAUACCUGUCAAGAUUUUGGACACUGUCACCAGAAGGACAAGGAAUACAGCAGUCCGGAUCUGCAGAGUACAGUGGAGCAGGCAUGGCGAAGAAGAGGCCACGUGGGAACGUGAGGACGCGUUAAAGAAGGAAUUUCCCCAUCUCUUCAGGACUCAGUCGAAUCUCGAGGACGAGAUUCAAUUUAAGUGGGGUAGGUUUGUAACGCCCACGAAAAUCACUAACAAAAAUCACCCGUUAAAAACCGUCUUUAAAAUCUUUUUACCGCUGAGCUCCCGGAAAUCGGAAACCUCCCCGGCGAUUUCGCCAUCCCGGUACCCAUGCCGACCCCCACCUGUCUUUUUAUCUGUGCCCGCGAAUCUCGCCGCGUGCCGGUGUCAGACGCCGUGCGCGUGCUCCGACCGCGUGCCGCGAGUGCCGCCGGUCUCUCCCUUUUUCUUUCUCUUUUCCUCCCCCUUUUCCCUUUCCUUUUUCCUCCUUCUUCUUUCUUCCUCUUCCUUCUUCUUCUUCCUCCUCCUUCUCUCUCCUUCUCUUUCUUCUUCCUGGCGCACCGCACGCCUCCCCUGGCGCCACUCCGUUGGACCGGCCCCCCCUGGUGCAUUUACUCCGGCGCCCCCCCCCUUCCCUGGCGCCAUACCGGCGACCGGCCCGGUCCGCCGCUCGCCUGGGACCCGCCGCCGGCCGGCCCCGCCGGACGUGCCGGCCCCCUUUCGGGAGGCGCGCCGCCCACGGGCCCCUACCCCCUCCACUCGGAACUCCGGCCCGGCCACGGCACCGGUGCCGUGCCGGCCACCGCCGCCCGCUACCCCCCCCCCGAGCCGAGCCCCCACCGCUUGCCGUGCAGCCGCCGCCACCGGCCAUUACCGGCCCCUACCCCGCCGGCCAUCUCGCCGCCUAUAAAAGGAACCCGCCCGGCCGCCUUCUCCUCCACACACCGCCACAACCACUCUACCGCCCGUCGCCCAUCCGCCACUGCCGCCUCCCUGCCGCUGUCGCCAAAGCCGCCGCCGCCUCCUUGCCGCCACCACCGCCCACGGGCGCCGCCGCCUUUACCCCCCCCCUCCUUCGACGACACCACCGGAGGUGAGGUAAAAUGGGGCCUCCACCCCAUCCUCCGCCGCCCCGGCCCUCGGCCGCCGCCGGCGCAGCCCCGCCGGCCGGCCGCCGCCGGCCACUUCCCUCCCUCUCUCUUCCUCUGGUUCCUGGAAGAAGAAGGAGCCAAAACUCCAAGAAUUCCGAUCUAACCCUCAAGUUUCCCCAAAUCACACAUAAGCCCCUCCACUUCCGAAAGAAAUUACAAAUAGGUCCCUGGUUUAUUAAAAAUCAGCCCUAACCCUCCAUUUAAGCCCCUAAUCAAUGUUUAACCCGUCAUUUCAUGCGCCAAACUUCCUCCAAUUAAUCCCAAAAUUUACCACGUCAUCCUCCAGAAUACUUUCGCCGAUCCAUAUCCAAAUUUCCCAAAAAUAAUCCCUCUACCUAUUUUCCGUCCGCAUUUCCUAUUCGGAGCUCCCGGUUAAAAACCGUUUUCUCUUUUAUUUAUUUGUGUGUCUGUUUGUGUGUGCCGUAGAUCGCGGAUUGCCCGAGGAGGAGCCCGAGGAAGAGUUGGACCGCGAACCCGAGCCCGAGGACCAGUACCGCGAGCCGGAACUCCCGGAAGGCUUUGAAGACGGCAAGUCCAAUCUCACCCUUUUGAUGCAUACUUAAUACCUAGUUUUUCAAACACCACCUAUUGGCCUGUUUUACAAAAUGCAUAUUAUUUUAUCGCAAGACAUGGUUGGAUAGCCACCCCUUGAUUGUUAUGAACAUUCCUUGUUGUCCUAUGCUUAUCUCUAAAUAUGACUCGCUCUGUUUAGUUGAUAACCGCCGCUAGAACGCUUAGGAAUCUGUUACUCAAAUGCAAACAUUAUUACAAUGGUGUAUUCGGGAAAUUAAGGUGUGUGUGUGUGUUCGAGUAAGCAUAAUGGCUGUUGGUUCGGGAAAAGAAAUGUGUGGACGGGAUGGAUGGGUGUUCCUUGUGUGGGAUGCCCAGUUGUUGUGCUCGUACCUUGGUGGUUGGGCAAUGUUGGGAGAUAUCCAUCCGGUCGUAAUUAAGGACCGAGUUAAUGUGUCAUCUUGCCUAAUUCCACUAUCGUGCAACCACUCGACCGUUGUAUGGGCAACGGCUUAGCAUAAAUCCCACUAGCUGGAUGGUUAGUCCUCAGGAGCGCUGGUGAGCAACGGGAACCCACGGAAAAGGAUUAAGAUCUUGGUGACUUGAGUCCCGGUUACGGUCUCCUGAAUGAGCCGUGGACCCCUGGGGUGUUCCGUGUGAACUAGCCAGUCCUAGCUAAGGUGGGUAAUGGCUUUGUUAGGAUCCGUACCGUCACUAAGGUGAUUGUGCUACGGUACCCUACUUGUGGGAAAAGUGUACACCCUCUGCAGAGUGAAAACCUAUCCGGGUAGCCGUGUCCACGGAAUUGGACGAAUUACGGCUUGGUCACAUAACUAGUGUUUGGGCAAGGAUAUCAUGUGUGUGUGUGUGUGUGUGUGUGUGUGUGUGUGUGGAAUUUCAGAAGAGUCCGGCAGUUGUGCCGUGCGCUAUGACGGACGGGGAGUCCGAUAGCGACAAAAGCUUGGAUCCUUUGCGUAGGAUCAUCCCCACUCAGUAUUUCGGGUAUUAAAGGAAACUUUACAAAAACCCUUUCGAAAAUGAUCCCCUGCAUGUGUUAACAAUUAGCUUUUUCGCAAAAUAAACCCUAGCCUAUCCUUGUUGUACUUGUGCAUAAACUUGCUUGUAUCCCCCUCCGUGGAUGGGGUUGGACUUGUUGAGUACGUUAGUACUCACCCUUGCUUCAUUACUACAGAGGAAGACCCUGAGUUCGUCGCAGAAGACCUCGAGUAGAGGUUGUGUCCGCACCCGACGCUGCCUGUGGAGUUGCCCUGCCCACAAUGCUGCUGCUGCCGUGUAGUCCCGAGUGCUGUCUUUUGGCAGUCGCUUGGUUAGCCGCCGUUAUCUAUUUACUGUUUAUCGCUGCGUGGCUUUCACGCCCACUCCCUCGGGAGUUGUACGGUAACUGAAUUAUCUGUCGAAUAAAUGUGUUAUCAGCCUCCUGGGACUGAUAUUUGUAUCACAUUUAGUCUCUACUUAUGUGGGGACGCUUCAGGUGCGGCGGGGUGGGGCAGGCGUGGCUCGGGCGGCGUCCGAGCCAAGCGGCGGGCGACCGCGGCGCCCCUGCCUGGUGAGUCGGGAGAGAGGGGACAGAGGACGAGGCGGAUGGGUGGGUGUUAAGAGGCAGACGGAUCAGGAGGCGUCGAUGGAAUGAAAAAUAAGCAUGUGUUUGGUUUUGGGACGACGUGGGUCGGGUCAAAGCCAACCCCCUUUCUGUGGGUUGGAGUGAACCCGGCUCGUGUUUGGAUUGGAGGGAUGGGUUGGACCCAGCCUUUUGUUUAGUUGAAGAGGUUGACAGGGUUAGGAUAGAUGUCCUUUUAACACCGUUAGUUGUAAGCCCACCUGUCAGCUGGGGCCCCACCCAUCAUCCUCUUUUUUUUCCUCCUCCAUCCCUAUAGCUCUAUAACUGUGAUAGGCCAAGCAUGGAAUUGGAAGAUUAUUGUUGCAGCCUGAAAAUAUGACUCUGUGUUUUAAGCCCUUCAGGGUUGAUAAGAAAAAUCCCUGUCCAAUUCAAUAGAACUAAAUUUUAGCAUGUGUAUUUUAAGCAGUUGAAUUUAGCUACACUAGAAGUGUUCGUGACUGCUUUUUUUAAUUCAGAAUAUAACUGUGGAGUGUGGAUAAGGAAAGUUUGGUAGUAACACAAACACGAUACCAAAGUUAGGGGCUUGGUCGAUCCUUGGAACAGAGCAUAAUCCACGGAUUCACACAAAAAGGACAAAUCACAAGCAAGGAAGAAAUAACUGAGAGAGACGAGUAGCCUACCUCGUCCAAGGUCCUGCUCGAGUGGCCGUCGGUGCUUGCUCCUGAGCUCUUCAACCGCAGCCAUAGUUGCCUGGACAGUUGCGGGGCCACCCUAGCUGAUUCGCCGGAUACGACGCCGCCCACACUCCCCCAACUCCCUCACGAGCGCCUGCGUUCAGCCGCGGCGAAGCGGAUAUGCUGUGGAUGAGGAGGUCGGCGGGGUUGGUGGCAGGGAAAGACGUGCGGUUUGGUGGGAGGAGGCCGGCCGGCGGGGUGGGGGAUUGGGACUGGGAGGAG